rnacentral:rRNA from 1 species
UACCAGCACCCCGAGUGGGCGGGACGAUUAUUGGGCCUAAAGCAUCCGUAGCCGGUUUUACAAGUCCUCCGUUAAAUCCAGCUGCUUAACAGAUGGGCUGCGGAGGAUACUAUAAGACUAGGAGGCAGGAGAGGCAAGCGGUACUCAGUGGGUAGGGGUAAAAUCCGUUGAUCCGUUGAAGACCACCAGUGGCGAAGGCGGCUUGCCAGAAUGCGCUCGACGGUGAGGGAUGAAAGCUGGGGGAGCAAACCGG